CCUACGGGAGGCAGCAGUAGGGAAUAUUGCUCAAUGGGGGAAACCCUGAAGCAGCAACGCCGCGUGGAGGAUGAAGGUUUUCGGAUUGUAAACUCCUUUUGUUAGAGAAGAUAAUGACGGUAUCUAACGAAUAAGCACCGGCUAACCCCGUACCAGCAGCCGCGGUAAUACGGAGGGUGCACGCGUUACUCGGAAUCACUGGGCGUAAAGAGCGCGUAGGCGGGGUAGCAAGUCAGAUGUGAAAACCUCUGGCUUAAACAUAGAACUGCAUUUUAAACUGUUAUUCUAGAGUAUGGGAGAGGUAGGCGGAAUGCGUGGUGUAGGGGUAAAAUCCGUAGAGAUCACGAGGAAUACUCAUUGCGAAGGCGACCUGCUAGAACAUAACUGACGCUGAUGCGCGAAAGCGUGGGUAGCAAACAGGAUUAGAUACCCGUGUAGUC
rnacentral:rRNA from 1 species